rnacentral:rRNA from 1 species
AGCGAACGCUGGCGGCAGGCCUAACACAUGCAAGUCGAACGAACUCUUCGGAGUUAGUGGCGGACGGGUGAGUAACACGUGGGAACGUGCCUUUUGGUUCGGAAUAACUCAGGGAAACUUGUGCUAAUACCGAAUGUGCCCUUCGGGGGAAAGAUUUAUCGCCAUUAGAGCGGCCCGCGUCUGAUUAGCUAGUUGGUGAGGUAACGGCUCACCAAGGCGACGAUCAGUAGCUGGUCUGAGAGGAUGACCAGCCACACUGGGACUGAGACACGGUCCAGACUCCUACGGGAGGCAGCAGUGGGGAAUCUUGCGCAAUGGGCGAAAGCCUGACGCAGCCAUGCCGCGUGAAUGAUGAAGGUCGUAGGAUUGUAAAAUUCUUUCACCGGGGACGAUAAUGACGGUACCCGGAGAAGAAGCCCCGGCUAACUUCGUG